UUCAUGUACGCAAAUAGUGAUAACACAUUUUAGCGGAGUGAUGAGUGCUGGAUAAAUUGCUAGCGGCGGACGGGUGCGUAACACGUGGGUAACCUGCCCCUAUCACUGGGAUAACACACUGAAAAGUGUGCUAAUACCAGAUAACAUAAGCUUUUGGCAUCAUUAGCUUAUCAAAGAAUUUCGGAUAGGGAUGGGCCCGCGUCUGAUUAGCUAGUUGGUGAGGUAACGGCUCACCAAGGCAACGAUCAGUAGCCGACCUGAGAGGGUGAUCGGCCACACUGGAACUGAGACACGGUCCAGACUCCUACGGGAGGCAGCAGUGGGGAAUAUUGCACAAUGGGCGAAAGCCUGAUGCAGCAACGCCGCGUGAGCGAUGAAGGCCUUCGGGUCGUAAAGCUCUGUCCUAUGGGAAGAUAAUGACGGUACCAUAGGAGGAAGCCCCGGCUAACUACGUGCCAGCAGCCGCGGUAAUACGUAGGGGGCAAGCGUUAUCCGGAAUUACUGGGCGUAAAGGGUGCGUAGGCGGUUUAUCAAGUCAGGGGUGAAAGGCUACGGCUCAACCGUAGUGAGCCUCUGAAACUGGUGAACUUGAGUGUAGGAGAGGAAAGUGGAAUUCCCAGUGUAGCGGUGAAAUGCGUAGAUAUUGGGAGGAACACCAGUGGCGAAGGCGACUUUCUGGACUACAACUGACGCUGAGGCACGAAAGCGUGGGGAGCAAACAGGAUUAGAUACCCUGGUAGUCCACGCUGUAAACGAUGAGUACUAGGUGUCGGCUGUCAAAGGUCGGUGCCGGCGUUAACACAUUAAGUACUCCGCCUGGGGAGUACGCUCGCAAGAGUGAAACUC
rnacentral:rRNA from 1 species